rnacentral:lncRNA from 1 species
UGUUUUUUUUUUUUUUGGUCUGAGUUCAGUGUCAGUAUUUGUGACCUUAACAGUUGCCUUCUUGGAUCUGGAGGCUUCCUUGUUCCGAGCGGAGGCUGCUGUGGCCUGGAUAUUGGCUGUCUCAUUGAUAAUUUGGCUGUGGGUGGUAGUUGGAGCCAGUGAGAUCUCAUUGGCAUUAGCUGUGGCCUUAUUGGCUGUCUUCUUAGCCUUGGAAGCUUUCUUCAGUUUGGUGGAGGCUAUCAAAGCUUGGGAAUUGACUGACUCUCUGGAAAUUGGAGCCUGGAUAGUCUGGGGGAAUGAUUGGUAGGUUUAGGGUCGCAAGGGUGACUGGAUCUGUGUAGUGACACCAUCCCUGCCAGUUGGAGAUUGGUAGCCUUGGGCUGCCUUAGCAGUAACUCUCUUUGUCUCAUUGGCUUUUUUAGGCUGAGCCAUGACUGAAGAAGCCUGAGUAUUGGCUGCCUCAGUGGUAGCUGAAGCCUCGUUGAUCUGGGGGAUCAAGUUUAAAGACUACAGAGUUAUUUUAGACUUGUUGGUGGUAAUCACAUUGGCAGAUGGAAUUGCAUGGACAGCAGGUAUGCUCUUUUGUUGUUAAUGCCAUCAAAUAGAUUCCUACUCCCAGCAACCCUGUGUACAUCACAGAGAAACCCUGCCUGGCCUUUUUGUGCCAUCCUCUCAUCUUCUGGUGCUAUAUCAGACAACACUCUGCUGAUAUUCAUAGGAUUUUCAUGGCAAUUUUUUCAGAAGUGAGUGGCCAGGUCCUUCUUCCUAGUCUGUCUUAGUCCAGAAGCUCCAAUGAAACUUGUCCACCAACGGUGACCCUGUUGGUUUUUGAAAUACUAGUGGCAGAGCUUUCAGCAGCACAGUAACACACAGAUUGGUCUUAGCAAUAGGAUUAACAGGGUCCUUCUUGAUCUUGCUUUUCUUAGGCCAGUUGGCAACUGGUGGGUCUACGGCCAAGGUGUCAUUGUUUGCUGCCAAGAGAGUAUGCAUCAGCAAAAUACUGUCCUCUUCUGUG